ACGCUGGCGGCGUGCUUAACACAUGCAAGUCGAACGGAAGGCCCUGCUUUGUGGGGUGCUCGAGUGGCGAACGGGUGAGUAACACGUGAGUUAACCUGCCCUUGACUUUGGGAUAACUUCAGGAAACUGGGGCUAAUACCGGAUAGGAGCUCCUGCUGCAUGGUGGGGUUGGAAAGUUUCGGCGGUUGGGGAUGGACUCGCGGCUUAUCAGCUUGUUGGUGGGGUAGUGGCUUACCAAGGCUUUGACGGGUAGCCGGCCUGAGAGGGUGACCGGCCACAUUGGGACUGAGAUACGGCCCAGACUCCUACGGGAGGCAGCAGUGGGGAAUAUUGCACAAUGGGCGGAAGCCUGAUGCAGCAACGCCGCGUGCGGGAUGACGGCCUUCGGGUUGUAAACCGCUUUCGCCUGUGACGAAGCGUGAGUGACGGUAAUGGGUAAAGAAGCACCGGCUAACUACGUG
rnacentral:rRNA from 1 species